rnacentral:rRNA from 1 species
GACGAACCGUGCGAACGUUGUUCGGAAUCACUGGGCUUAAAGGGCGCGUAGGCGGAUGAUCGAGUCCGGGGUGAAAGCUUUCGGCUUAACCGGAAAAGGGCCUUGGAUACCGAUCGUCUGGAGGGAGGUAGGGGUCCGCGGAACUGCUGGUGGAGCGGUGAAAUGCGUUGAUAUCAGCAGGAACGCCGGUGGCGAAAGCGGCGGACUGGACCUCUUCUGACGCUGAUGCGCGAAAGCCAGGGGAGCGAACGGG